rnacentral:rRNA from 1 species
GAUCAUGCUCAGGAUGAACGCUAGCUACAGGCUUAACACAUGCAAGUCGAGGGGCAGCAUGAACUUAGCUUGCUAAGUUUGAUGGCGACCGGCGCACGGGUGAGUAACACGUAUCCAACCUGCCGAUGACUCGGGGAUAGCCUUUCGAAAGAAAGAUUAAUACCCGAUGGCAUAAUUCUUCCGCAUGGUAGAACUAUUAAAGAAUUUCGGUCAUCGAUGGGGAUGCGUUCCAUUAGG